rnacentral:lncRNA from 1 species
CUGAGUGGGAGUCCUUGGAAGAAGUGUGAUGGAGCAUUGCAGUGGGACCUCCAGAAGCUGAACCUGGACAAGAGAAAAAUACCUGAGGUAUAGUAACAGCUCUGAAAUUCCACUUUCAACAUCACUGGAAGGACAGGCUGGUCUCUCUCUACAAGUGCUGAGUGGCAAUGCCAGUAAGUUCCAUGGAGAAGCUCUUCCUGAGGGAUUCAACCUAGAACCCAGAGCCAGACCUUUCAGCAUCUUGAGUGAGAACCCUGCUGAGAAAUUACCUAGCAAGAUCAUUGUACCCAGGGGGACGCCUUCCUUUUCGCCCCAGAGGGAGCCUGGACUUUUGGAGAGGGCUGCGCAGGACUUCCCGCGGCCUCCAGCUCCUGGCUGCGUCCUUGGCGUUGCUGUCAUGGACACAGGAUUAAUUCACCAAGCUGUCUACUCCACAGCCCAACACUGUCCACACCAUUGCCUCGUACUGUCUACACCACAGCUUCUUAAACUGUGGUUUGUGACCCCUAAGGGGUCUCCUAACUGAAUGUGGGGUCAUGAAAUUAUGAUUUAUUAUCAGUAAAUGUUGGAUUUGUAUGCCUAUUUUAUAUACCUCUAUCCCCA